GAUAACCGUGACAACCAGGAGGAGCGACAGGACAGAGACCACAGAGGUUCUCGUCUCCAGCUGCUCAACAUCUGUCGCGCUUUCAACCACAGAGAGCGAGACGGGAAACAGCGAGAGCAAGACAGCAACCAGACCUCAAACAGGACCACCACAGAGAGGACAGACAGCUGCUCUGAUACACCCCCUGAGAAAAGGACACAGAAUUUUGCAACCCUAAUCAGAGGUCAGGUGGGCAGAGGUCAGGUUACCUACCAGGAAGGGUCCGUGUUCUGUUAGCAGUCCGUCCAGAGAGCUGCAGCCAGGACCGCCG